rnacentral:rRNA from 1 species
GUAGGGAAUCUUCCACAAUGGGCGAAAGCCUGAUGGAGCAACGCCGCGUGAGUGAAGAAGGUUUUCGGAUCGUAAAGCUCUGUUGUUGGUGAAGAAGGAUAGAGGUAGUAACUGGCCCCUAUUUGACGGUAAUCAACCAGAAAGUCACGGCUAACUACGUGCCAGCAGCCGCGGUAAUACGUAGGUGGCAAGCGUUGUCCGGAUUUAUUGGGCGUAAAGCGAGCGCAGGCGGAAAGAUAAGUCUGAUGUGAAAGCCCCCGGCUUAACCGAGGAAUUGCAUCGGAAACUGUGUUUCUUGAGUGCAGAAGAGGAGAGUGGAACUCCAUGUGUAGCGGUGGAAUGCGUAGAUAUAUGGAAGAACACCAGUGGCGAAGGCGGCUCUCUGGUCUGUAACUGACGCUGAGGCUCGAAAGCAUGGGUAGCGAACAGGAUUAGAUACCCUGGUAGUCCAUGCCGUAAACGAUGAGUGCUAAGUGUUGGGAGGUUUCCGCCUCUCA